rnacentral:lncRNA from 1 species
GUUGGUUGUUUCCGACCGUUUUCGGCCGAAUUCGGCCAAACUUGUAUUGGUUCCUGUGAUAAAAUACCCAUAGGGCCCUCGGUGGGCUGAAAAAAUAUCGAAAAUCGAAACUUAUCGGCGGCAGGGCUCUCCGGUGCAGUGGCUCCGCCGGCUCGAGUCGCGAUUUGGUGUUUUACUCCAGUCAACCUGUAGAGGAAGGAACGAUGGUCAUAAUGGUGUAAAAAUUACAUCGAACGGGAAUCGGGAAGGGCUUCAUCGGAGGCAAAAACUGAAAAAACCCGCGGCAGCGACAUUGGGCUUCGGCGGUGUUUUCUGGCUAAUUGGCCGGUGUUUUGGCUCUGAUUUAGCCAUAGGUGGGUUUAGAAUCGAAAGCAUAGAAGGAAGUACUACUGAAAUCAGUUGC